CGCCGCGGUUAUACGAGCGACCCAAAUUAAUGAGAUAACGGCGUAAAGAGUGUAUAAGAAAAACCUUGUACUUAUUAAAGUUAAAAUGGUGCUUAACUGUUAUACGUGCCCGCACAAAUGAAAAACAAUUAAAAAAGAAACUUUAUAAAAACAAGGCCUCUGAAAACACGAUAGCUAAAAAA
rnacentral:rRNA from 1 species